rnacentral:pre_miRNA from 7 species
CUCUUGCCUAAACUCAAAGAGAUCCACUGAAAGACCCCCGAAGGGAAACCCUCACUCAAGCCUCGGGACAGCCGCGGACCCAAGAAGACACUGAGACCG